GGGGAUUUAGCUCAGUGGUAGAGCACUUGCCUAGCAAUCACAAGGCCCUGGGUUCGGUCCCCAGCUCCA
rnacentral:tRNA from 1 species